GGGGCAAUGGCGUAGUUGGGAGCGCGUUUGACUGAAGAUCAGAAGGUCACCGGUUCGAUCCCGGUUUGCCCCA
rnacentral:tRNA from 20 species